rnacentral:rRNA from 1 species
AUUGAACGCUGGCGGCAUGCCUUACACAUGCAAGUCGAACGGCAGCACGGGUGCUUGCACCUGGUGGCGAGUGGCGAACGGGUGUGUAAUACAUCGGAACGUACCUUAUCGUGGGGGAUAACGCAGCGAAAGCUGUGCUAAUACCGCAUACGCCCUGAGGGGGAAAGCGGGGGAUCGCAAGACCUCGCGCGAUUAGAGCGGCCGAUGCCUGAUUAGCUUGUUGGUGGGGUAAAAGCCCACCAAGGCGACGAUCAGUAGCUGGUCUGAGAGGACGAUCAGCCACACUGGGACUGAGACACGGCCCAGACUCCUACGGGAGGCAGCAGUGGGGAAUUUUGGACAGUGGGGGCAACCCUGAUCCAGCAAUGCCGCGUGAGUGAAGAAGGCCUUCGGGUUGUAAAGCCCUUUUGUCAGGGAAGAAACACCGGCUCUAACACAGUCCGGGAAUGACGGUACCUGAAGAAUAAGCACCGGCUAACUACGUGCCAGCCGCCGCAGUAA